CAGGCCACUGCUCUACACAUGGCACCAUGAAAGACCAUCCCUCUGCACACGGCACCAUGAAAGCCCUUGGAUCCAAGAGAACCAGCCAGAACACCCUCCCCUUUGAGAGAGGAUGCCCCAGCUCAGGCCCAACCAAGGGCUGCUGUACAUCUGAUAAGGGGAGACCAGAGCUCUUUUCCCUUUAGUUUACCUCUGCUUCCAAGCCCGAGACAGGACUCUUGCCUCACUUCCUCUGGCCCCUGGAGCACCUGGAACCUGAUGUCCAGCCAAGAGGGGGGACACAGCUAUGAGCCAGUCCAUGGCAAAGACAAG
rnacentral:lncRNA from 1 species